rnacentral:rRNA from 1 species
UACGUAGGGUGCGAGCGUUGUCCGGAAUUAUUGGGCGUAAAGAGCUCGUAGGCGGCCUGUUACGUCUGCUGUGAAAGCCCGGGGCUCAACUCCGGGUCUGCAGUGGAUACGGGCAGGCUAGAGUCCGGCAGGGGAGACUGGAAUUCCUGGUGUAGCGGUGAAAUGCGUAGAUAUCAGGAGGAAUACCGAUGGCGAAGGCAGGUCUCUGGGCUGACACUGACGCUCAUGCACGAAAGCGUGGGGAGCAAACAGG